rnacentral:ncRNA from 2 species
AUUAGCAACUUAAAAGUUGUUCGUAUAACCCCGAUAAUCGGUUCGGGGGCUCUACUGGGGUCCGUAAAAUCCUAACUACGAACGCAAUAUUCUUCUUA